ACUAGAGGCAGAGGAAGCAAGGUUAAAGAAAAUUAGGGAAUACAAAUCUCAACACUAGAAAUUGUCACAAUAAAAAGGCCAGGUGUUUAAUCUCAAAGCAUAAGUUCAACAGAGGCAGACUGAGUUCAUGACAGUCAGAAGAGAUUCAGUCCUUUGGUGAGAGUAUUGCCUGCUAUGUCUGCAUUCUCUGUUGAUUGAUUGACAGUGACUAGAGGGAGGGGCUGGCUACUAGACUAGACUUAGCAGGAUCCUCACAAGAAUCUGAUCUGCAGCUGCAAGACCAGUAACACAUUUGUCAUAAAGCAACUUAUUGAAUAAUAGUCAUUAUCACAAUACAUUUUGCAUUAUAGUACAUGUAAGCAAA